rnacentral:lncRNA from 1 species
UACACUAUUGGUAAACAAUUCAGAUAACAUGAUAAUCCAAACAGAUUACACUAUUGGUAAUCCGAACAGAGUACACUACUGGAAACUACUCAAAUCAAAACUAUUCAGAUAAGAUGAUAAUCUAAACAGAGUACACUAUUGGUAAUCCAAACAGGGUUUACUAUUGGUAAAGAAACAUGAUACUAUGUUCAUUUCAAAACUCAGUACACGGCUGAAUCAGGACUGUAAUUUCUCAAAUGUAGCACAAACUGUUGUAUGUACUGUACAGUGGGACUCCCUGUUUUUGCUAACAAAAAUGCUGAAAACUGUUUUAACAAUGGUCAUAUGUUCAGUUAUCUGCCAUAAGUUGCCUAUUCCACAGUUAACGAGUCGAUCGACAUGAACCAAGACUACACACUACGCUGCGCCUCCGAUCCAUUUGCGAUCCUGCAGCAUUCAUAGGAACAUAAAACUGUCAGAACAUACAGAUGAGAUGAUAAUAAAAGUGUAGAAGAAAUGAGAAGUUUAAAACUUUACCCAGGCCCAAGCAAUGAUCUGCAGAAUGCAAGCGAAGCCCAAGAUGACGUAGGAAGUCACAGGAGCAUCCGGUGCUAUCAGGACGUGGCUGUACCAAAUCACAAGGGCAGUAAUGCCAGCCAUGCCAAUGUGGCUGGCAACAUCAGCAAAACGGAGCAUGAGCGCAGAACCGCGGCACUGCCUGCAAGCGACAGCUACACCAACCGCGGCCCAAACCACAGAGAAGGCGACAUG